CAGCCGCCGCGGUAACACGGAGGGUGCAAGCGUUAAUCGGAAUUACUGGGCGUAAAGCGCACGCAGGCGGUCUGACAAGUCAGAUGUGAAAUCCCCGGGCUUAACCUGGGAACUGCAUUUGAAACUGUCAGGCUGGAGUCUUGUAGAGGGGGGUAGAAUUCCAGGUGUAGCGGUGAAAUGCGUAGAGAUCUGGAGGAAUACCGGUGGCGAAGGCGGCCCCCUGGACAAAGACUGACGCUCAGGUGCGAAAGCGUGGGGAGCAAACAGGAUUAGAUACCCCAGUAGUCCCUGUCUCUUAUAC
rnacentral:rRNA from 1 species